CCCAACUCUUGAGCACCUCCUCCUUAUUUUUGUUUAUGGAUCACUAGCAAAAGGUACAUAAUGUGUACCCUAAAAUAUAUGAAAAUUUCAAAAAAAAUUUGGAUAGAUUCGGUGCAAAAUUGAAAGAGUUUUGGAUUUCUAAAACUCUAUCUCAUAGAAUUCGAAAUCCAAACUUAUUCCUUUUUUAUUUGAUCCAAACCACCUUCCAUGUAAGAAAGAAGAGAGGAGACCUUUUGUGAACAUGGGAGAGACCUGGGAGAGGAUUUUUGUUGCACAAAAUAAGAGGA
rnacentral:lncRNA from 1 species